AACGCUAGCUACAGGCUUAACACAUGCAAGUCGAGGGGCAUCAGGGUAGCAAUACCGCUGGCGACCGGCGCACGGGUGAGUAACACGUAUCCAACCUACCGUUAACUCGGGGAUAGCCUUUCGAAAGAAAGAUUAAUACCCGAUAGUAUAUUUUCUUCGCAUGUUGAAAAUAUUWAAGAAUUUCGGUUAUCGAUGGGGAUGCGUUCCAUUAGGCAGUUGGCGGGGUAACGGCCCACCAAACCUACGAUGGAUAGGGGUUCUGAGAGGAAGGUCCCCCACAUUGGAACUGAGACACGGUCCAAACUCCUACGGGAGGCAGCAGUGAGGAAUAUUGGUCAAUGGACGAGAGUCUGAACCAGCCAAGUAGCGUGCAGGAAGACGGCCCUAUGGGUUGUAAACUGCUUUUAUAAGGGAAUAAAGUGAGUCUCGUGAGACUUUUUGCAUGUACCUUAUGAAUAAGGACCGGCUAAUUCCGUGCCAGCAGCCGCGGUAAUACGGAAGGUCCGGGCGUUAUCCGGAUUUAUUGGGUUUAAAGGGAGCGUAGGCCGGAGAUUAAGCGUGUUGUGAAAUGUAGACGCUCAACGUCUGCACUGCAGCGCGAACUGGUUUCCUUGAGUACGCACAAAGUGGGCGGAAUUCGUGGUGUAGCGGUGAAAUGCUUAGAUAUCACGAAGAACUCCGAUUG
rnacentral:rRNA from 1 species